AUUGAACGCUGGCGGCAUGCCUUACACAUGCAAGUCGAACGGCAGCACGGGUGCUUGCACCUGGUGGCGAGUGGCGAACGGGUGAGUAAUACAUCGGAACAUGUCCUGUAGUGGGGGAUAGCCCGGCGAAAGCCGGAUUAAUACCGCAUACGAUCUACGGAUGAAAGCGGGGGACCUUUGGGCCUCGCGCUAUAGGGUUGGCCGAUGGCUGAUUAGCUAGUUGGUGGGGUAAAGGCCUACCAAGGCGACGAUCAGUAGCUGGUCUGAGAGGACGACCAGCCACACUGGGACUGAGACACGGCCCAGACUCCUACGGGAGGCAGCAGUGGGGAAUUUUGGACAAUGGGCGAAAGCCUGAUCCAGCAAUGCCGCGUGUGUGAAGAAGGCCUUCGGGUUGUAAAGCACUUUUGUCCGGAAAGAAAUCCUUGGCCCUAAUACGGUCGGGGGAUGACGGUACCGGAGGAAUAAGCACCGGCUAACUACGUG
rnacentral:rRNA from 1 species